rnacentral:rRNA from 1 species
GGAGUUUGGUCUUGGCUUAGGUUUAAUUGUAUAGCGGCAAGUGUAUACAAAGGUUAAUAAAGUGGAAUAGGAGUAACAUUUAAGAUUACAUAAUUUUGUAAUUGUAGAUGAAGUGCCGUUAAUUAGUAUCAGCUAUUGUUCAUGCCAGCAGCUGCGGUUAUUUGAAUGAUACAAUAUUAUUGGUUUAUAUAACUAAUGUAUGAGAGUAGUAUUAUUAUAUUAUAUUUGGGUAAAAUCAAUUUAAUAUAAGAGUUACUUAUGAAAAGUAGUAAAUUAGUAAAAGAAAACAGGAUUAGAUACCCUGGUAUUAGCUAAUAUAUUUAUGGGUAGUAAUAUGAUUAUGAAACUUAAAAGUCCUGGCGGCGUUAUAUCUUUUUAGAGGAACCUGUCGAUUAAUGUGAUGAUCCACGGUGUAUCUUACCUUUAUUAGUAAAGUCAGUAGGUGUAUUGUUGUCGUAAGAUAGACUAAAAUAGUAGUAUUCUUCAAUUAUAGUAAAAGAAACGUCAAAUCUAAAUGCUGCUAAUAUAGAGGGUUUAAAAGGAUGGGUUACAUUUUUAUAAAGUUCGGAGAUAUGUUGGAAAAAUAUUUGUGAAGUUGGAUUUGUUAGUAUUGAUUUUUUAGUGAGAAGUUAAUAAAAAGUUCUAUAACGUGUACAUACCGCCCGUCGUCCCCGCCGAGGUAGGGGGGGUAAGUCGUAACAAGGUAGGGUUACUG